UACAGAGGGUGCAAGCGUUAAUCGGAAUUACUGGGCGUAAAGCGUGCGUAGACGGUCAUGUAAGUCGGGUGUGAAAGCCCCGGGCUCAACCUGGGAAUUGCAUUCGAGACUGCAUGGCUAGGAUGCGGAAGAGGGAAGCGGAAUUUCCGGUGUAGCGGUGAAAUGCGUAGAUAUCGGGAGGAACACCUGUGGCGAAGGCGGCCCCCUGGUUGGAUACUGACGCUGAUACGCGAAAGCGUGGGGAGCAAACGAGG
rnacentral:rRNA from 1 species